rnacentral:tRNA from 1 species
AUUUAUAUAGUAUAAUUAAUAUUCUUAGCUUCCAAUUAAGAGAUCUAUUUAAUUAGUAUAAAUA